GACGAACGCUGGCGGCGUGCUUAACACAUGCAAGUCGAGCGGUAAGGCCUCUUCGGGGGUACACGAGCGGCGAACGGGUGAGUAACACGUGGGUGACCUGCCCUCAGCUCUGGGAUAAGCCUGGGAAACUGGGUCUAAUACCGGAUAUGACCUUUCCUCGCAUGGGGUUUGGUGGAAAGUUUUUUCGGCUGGGGAUGGGCCCGCGGCCUAUCAGCUUGUUGGUGGGGUGAUGGCCUACCAAGGCGACGACGGGUAGCCGGCCUGAGAGGGCGACCGGCCACACUGGGACUGAGACACGGCCCAGACUCCUACGGGAGGCAGCAGUGGGGAAUAUUGCGCAAUGGGCGGAAGCCUGACGCAGCGACGCCGCGUGGGGGAUGACGGCCUUCGGGUUGUAAACCUCUUUCGACCCCGACGAAUUUGGACGGUGGGGGUAGAAGAAGCACCGGCCAACUACGUG
rnacentral:rRNA from 1 species